rnacentral:rRNA from 1 species
CUUUCCUACGGGGGGCAGCAGUAGGGAAUCUUCGGCAAUGGACGAAAGUCUGACCGAGCAACGCCGCGUGAGUGAAGAAGGUUUUCGGAUCGUAAAACUCUGUUGGUAAGGAAGAACAAGGGUGAGAGUAAAAUGUUCAUCCCUUGACGGUAUUUACCCAGAAAGCCACGGCUAACUACGUGCCAGCAGCCGCGGUAAUACGUAGGUGGCAAGCGUUGUCCGGAUUUAUUGGGCGUAAAGCGAGCGCAGGCGGUCUUCUAAGUCUGAUGUGAAAGCCCCCGGCUCAACCGGGGAGGGUCAUUGGA